rnacentral:rRNA from 1 species
CAGUCGCCGCGGGAAAACGUAGGUGGCAAGCGUUGUCCGGAAUUAUUGGGCGUAAAGGGCUCGCAGGCGGUUUCUUAAGUCUGAUGUGAAAGCCCCCGGCUCAACCGGGGAGGGUCAUUGGAAACUGGGAAACUUGAGUGCAGAAGAGGAAAGUGGAAUUCCAUGUGUAGCGGUGAAAUGCGCAGAGAUAUGGAGGAACACCAGUGGCGAAGGCGACUUUCUGGUCUGUAACUGACGCUGAUGUGCGAAAGCGUGGGGAUCAAACAGGAUUAGAUACCCGUGUAGUCCCUGUCUCUUAUAC